UAAAUGUUAGCGCACAGCACAGUAGAUAUUUGACGUUCUUCUCACGAUCUUAAUAAAGUAAUACAAUAGAGCUAUAUUAUUAAAGUAUAAACGUGUUGUUUAUGGGAAUACCUAAUGGACAAGAUGGAGUCACGUGAUCUACGCAGCGGACAUUGAUUACUUGAGAUCAACAAUUACCAAACACUUCUCAGAAAAUCGUCACCACGUGAUCAACAAUACUAACAAAGUAGCCUCCAAGGAAUUCAUUUACAACGAGUUUAACAGAUUCGAGCUUGAAACCUCAUAUCAUAACUUCAGUUUCACCGACAUAUCUAAAGUACCUUUUGCAAAUGUCGUUGGUAUUCUAAAGGGCACGAACUUUGGAAAGGUAAAUGAUAAGAUUAUCGGACUUGGUGCGCACUAUGACACUGUGCAACAUACUAAAGGAGUUGAUGAUAACGGUGCCGGUGUAGCUGCAAUGUUGGAAGUUGCUAAGCAACUGACAGGCCAAAACAAACAAGGAGUUACGCGCAAAAACACAAUUAUAUUUGUGUCUUUUGAUUUAGAGGAAGAAG